GACGAAGGGGGCUAGCGUUGUUCGGAAUUACUGGGCGUAAAGCGAGUGUAGGUGGUUGUCCAAGUUGGAUGUGAAAGCCUUGAGCUCAACUCAAGAAAUGCAUUCAGGACUGGGCGGCUAGAGGACCGGAGAGGAUAGUGGAAUUCCCAGUGUAGUGGUGAAAUACGUAGAGAUUGGGAAGAACACCAGUGGCGAAGGCGGCUAUCAGGACGGUUUCUGACACUAAGACUCGAAAGCGUGGGGAGCAAACAGG
rnacentral:rRNA from 1 species